rnacentral:rRNA from 1 species
CCAGCUCCAAUAGCGUAUAUUAAAGUUGUUGCAGUUAAAAAGCUCGUAGUUGGAUUUCGGCGUGCGCUCAGGCUGGUCGGCCGUCAAGGUCUGUACCGUUUGGGUCACGCCCCACUGUAGGAUACUCACCGCUGUCCUUAACUGGGUGGCGGUCAAAGGGGGUGUGCAUGGGGGCAACUCUGUGCAUAUCUCUGGGGUUCCUACUCUUUUACUUUGAGCAAAUUAGAGUGUUCAAAGCAGGCAAUCGAGCCUUGAAUACUUCAGCAUGGGAUAAUGGAACAGGACUGGGGUCCUGAUUUCGUUGGUUUCUGGGAUCUCAGUAAUGAUUAAUAGGGAUAGUUGGGGGCAUUAGUAUUUAAUUGUCAGAGGUGAAAUUCUUGRAUUUAUGAAAGACUAACUUCUGCGAAAGCAUUUGCCAAGGAUGUUUUCAUUAAUCAAGAACGAAAGUUAGGGGAUCGAAGACGAUCAGAUACCGUCGUAGUCUUAACCAUAAACGAUGCCGACCAGCGAUUGGGAGACGUUACAUGGAUGACUCCCCCAGCAGCUUGCGAGAAAUYACAAGUCUUUGGGUUCCGGGGGGAGUAUGGUCGCAAGGCUGAAACUUAAAGGAAUUGACGGAAGGGCACCACCAGGAGUGGAGCCUGCGGCUUAAUUCGACUCAAC